CACUGAUGGUGCAAUGCUUGUGCCUGCAGCUCCGGGAGGUGUUUGAGGACGUGGCUGUGUAUUUCACACGGGAGGAGUGGGAGCUGCUGGACGAUGAAGACAAGGUGCUUUACCAGGAGCAGAUGCUGAAGAAUCACCAAGUCCUCGUUUCCCUGGGUAAAGCUUUGGGUCUUGCUUUCCCCCUGUGACCACUCCUCAUCUCCUGGGUGACAAGGACUGUUAUCUCUUGAAGGCUUCUCCCUGCAGUGCCUUCUCUUCUUAAAUGCCCAUCCUUCUUUGUCCAUCAAGGCCCUAGUAGAGACUUUGAUUUCACUGGAUCCAGUCCCCAAAUCCCAGUUGGAUUCUGCAUCCAGUACCCAGUCACAAAUGCUCUUUAACCACUGCCCACACAGGAUAUUGAGGUCCCACACCUGACUUAAAAUCUGCAGCAUCCAGCAAGGACAGGUGGAGCUCUGGACCUAUGAUGAUGAGGACCGUGGGGAAAUCUCAAGAUGGGAGGACCUGCUGCCAGGAGGUGCCUGGCCACUGAGCAGAGCUGAGGAGCAGCCUCCUGUGGAAGGGUCUGCAGACCUGGAGCCAGCGCAGACUUCCCCAGGGAGUUUGGGUGAGAUGGACUCCCUGAGACCUGAGAAGGAGCCAUGCCACGAGAGUCGGGGGAGGCCUCAAACACAGAAGGAGAGUCUAGCAAUGAACCAGGUACGGGACGUGCUGCAGACACAGGACCAGUAUCCUGC